rnacentral:rRNA from 1 species
GUAGGGAGCAAGCGUUGUUCGGAAUUAUUGGGCGUAAAGAGCGCGUAGGCGGCCAGGUAAGUCUGAUGUGAAAUCCCACAGCUCAACUGUGGAACUGCAUUGGAAACUGCUUGGCUAGAGUGCGGGAGAGGAGAGUGGAAUUCCCAGUGUAGAGGUGAAAUUCGUAGAUAUUGGGAGGAACACCAGUGGCGAAGGCGGCUCUCUGGACCGCAACUGACGCUGAGGCGCGAAAGCUAGGGGAGCGAACGGGAUUAGAUACCCCGGUAGUCCUAGCCGUAAACGAUGGGCACUAGGUGUGGGAGGUAUCGACCCCUUCUGUGCCGUAGCUAACGCAUUAAGUGCCCCGCCUGGGGAGUACGGUCGCAAGACUA